rnacentral:rRNA from 1 species
CCUACGGGAGGCAGCAGUGAGGAAUAUUGGUCAAUGGACGCAAGUCUGAACCAGCCAUGCCGCGUGCAGGAAGACGGCUCUAUGAGUUGUAAACUGCUUUUGUACGAGGGUAAACGCAGAUACGCGUAUCUGUCUGAAAGUAUCGUACGAAUAAGGAUCGGCUAACUCCGUGCCAGCAGCCGCGGUAAUACGGAGGAUUCAAGCGUUAUCCGGAUUUAUUGGGUUUAAAGGGUGCGUAGGCGGUCGGAUAAGUUAGAGGUGAAAUCCCGAGGCUCAACCUCGGAAUUGCCUCUGAUACUGUUCGGCUAGAGAGUAGUUGCGGUAGGCGGAAUGUAUGGUGUAGCGGUGGAAUGCUUAGAGAUCAUACAGAACACCGAUUGCGAAGGCAGCUUACCAAGCUACUUCUGACGUUGAGGCACGAAAGCGUGGGGAGCAAACAGGAUUAGAUACCCGGGUAGUC